GUACUUUUAUCGAUCGGACACUUCGUCCCUCGGUCGCUGACCAGGUAGCAACUCGUCCUACAAACGGGUCGAGUGAGUAAAUUAGGCUUUCCAGCCACCAAAUUACCGAGCGAGACUAAUCGGAAUCGAUCUUCGUAGUCCUACAUGAUGAUGAACCUGUAGGAAUGGUAUGUCUUAAUAUCGAUCGUUCGGUUUGUCCUUCUGCGCAGUCGAGGAAAAGAAGGUAAAAAGAAAGGGGUAGACACAUAUAUAUAUAUACCGGGGAGAGAAGCGGGGUGCCAAGUCAUUGGUUUCUUGUGAAGCGGAGCGGGAGGUGGUGCGAAGUAGCCAACACCAAGUUUCCGUUUUCAGCACACUCUAGUACCCGCGGAACCUAGUGGAGAGACUAAACACAUCGUACUGCCUCUGUUUCCUUCGGGAGUUCGAGUCCUUCUUCGCGGGUGACGUCUGCCACUUGUAGUUCCACUUCUACCUGACGCUCCCGACGCUCUCCUCCCAGUUCUUGCGGCAGUUUAGCUAAGCCCCAUCAGUAUAGAUGCAGUUUAUUAUGAUAGAUGAGGCCCUCUAUUUUGAAACCACAUUUAAACUAACUCGCUUGCAACUUGCUAGAGUAGAGACACCCACCCACCGUGUCCACACUGCUCGCACCGGCACUUGGGGUUCUACUCGUUCCAUUGCCAUUGCCCCGUGCACCUCGGCGCGUUCCACGACCUCGCCCACUUCUCGUGCCCCUUCCGCCGUCUCUACACCGGCAUGCACGGGAUGUGGGAGCGGUGGAUGGGGAUGCAGCCGCCGCGGAUGCUGUUCUUCCGUGGCCGCCCGAAGCAGGCGUCGCGUGGCGUCCGGUACCGGCUGGGGCGGCGCGGACUCUAGGUGAUGUACUUGUACAAGUUGCUGCUCCUGCAGUUGCGGACGUGGCAGUACACUAGAUUAGUAGCAUUAGUGGUCGAGGAAGGUGAGAUCGGCUGCGGGUCGGCGGGUCGCCCUUCUGUACGAACUAUACAGAAGUACGUAGUGUUUCUGACAUAAACAUAUAUCAUAUACAAAAAAGCGAACCCUUUUCCCCUAUGGUUCUUCUACUCGAACGCACGCUUAUCGAUAUUAUAUGAUGAGGGAGACAUUCGAUUAUAUUCUCAUAAAUCUAAUGAUGAAAUUACUAGAUUUUCGAGAAUAUAAUCAAAUGCCUUUUUCAUGAUGUUUCUUUCUCGAUUUCAAAUUAUUCGCAUGUAUUGAUGAGGGAGGCAAAGUUUUAUCUAUUAGGUUGAAAUAUGAUUUGCUUCCUUUAUUCACACUUCGUGUAGAACAACGCGGCAAAAAGCUAAUACUCUAACUACGUUAGUGGGUAAAAGUAUGAAGAAAGAUAUGUUAACGUAUAGUCGCUAAAGUUCUCUGCGAACACUAAGAAGUUGUCGUAGUUAGAUUACCUCCGGGACUGUUCAUCUAGAUAGGUACUUUCUGUUGGUUGAGAAUAUAAAUUAGAAAUCGGGACUAUAAAGGAUCUUGACUAUAACC
rnacentral:rRNA from 1 species